rnacentral:rRNA from 1 species
GUCCUUUUGAUUAUAAUUUAAGGUCUAACCUGCCCGCUGAAGGGAUGAAGGGCCGCGGUAUUUUGACCGUGCAAAGGUAGCAUAAUAAUUAGUUUUUUAAAUGAAAGCUGGAAUGAAUGGUUGAAUAAGAAAAUAACUGUCUCUAAAAAAUUUUUAUAGAAUUUUAUUUUUGAGUAAGAAAGCUUAAAUGUGAUUAGAAGACGAGAAGACCCUAUAGAGUUUUAUAAAUAUAGAUUUUUUUGUUUUUAGGAAUUUUUAAUGAUAAGGUUUAAAUUUAUUUGGUUGGGGAGACUAAAAAAUUUGAAUAACUUUUUUUAAUUUAAACAUUAAUAUAUGAUUUUUUGAUCCAGAGUUUCUGAUUUAAGGAUAAAAUUACCUUAGGGAUAACAGCGUAAUUCUUUUUGAGAGUUCUAAUCGAAAAAGGAGUUUGCGACCUCGAUGUUGGAUUAAAAUUAAAUUUUGGUGCAGAAGCUAAAAGUUUGGGUCUGUUCGACCCUUGAAAUUUUACAUGA